UGGACCAAUGAUGAUAGCACAGGAUUCGUGAACUAGGGACUCUGAUUAAACUCAUCUGCAGCUCUGAGGUCCGC